AGUUCUCAAUGCUGGUGAUAACAACGAGCAUUUCCAGUAACUCAUCGUAAUUACCUUCCUGUUGCUGGAGGUGUUAGCAGCCACACAUGCUAUUGCAGUGUAUCAGCCCUUGAACUUACUGUUUCAGAGAGUUCCUCCACCUCUAUAAAGAAGAGAAUUGUGUCGGGUGUCCAACCAACAGGAUCUAUACACCCUGGGAAUUAUCUUGGAGCGAUAAAAAAUUGGAUAUCACUGCAGUGAAAUUUUGAUGGGAGUCAAUCCAUGGUGGCCGGAGAACUCACCCAGGGUACGUUCAUGGUGGAGGGCUAGUUUCAGAAAAAGAGAACUCGUGUCUUUAUAGACAUCCAAAUGAAAGCUAUGAAGUCACUCUUCUAGCAAAAGAAGUUCCUUUUGAGCUCCCUGAGCCAGCUCUUGGAGUAAACUUUGCAAGAGAUGGCAUGACCACAAAGGCUGACUCUCACUGGUUGCAUUUCAAAGUGACUGUUGGAUGCUCUCCAUGACUUGAGCCUGGCUAAACGCUUAUAAAAGGUAUCUACGUACGUUUUAGUUUACCCAUGAUGUAAGCUGGUACUUUGUUGCAUAAGUUUCUUAAUGUGUUGAAACUUUAAAGUGUUUUAUGAUUUGCUGGUUUUGUCGUUUGUAUUGUUAUAUUUGUUUUAUUAAAUUAAUCAACUAGGUU